UCCGUAGGUGAACCUGCGGAAGGAUCAUUACCGUAGGGGCUCUCAGAGUCCCUAUUCAAGAACACCCUUUGUUUAUGAGAACCGUUCGUCUCCUGGGCGGGCUCGCCUGUCUCCAGGGACCUACAAAAACCUUUACAGUACCCCCGGGUACAAAACAUAUUAAAACUUUCAACAACGGAUCUCUUGGUUCUGGCAUCGAUGAAGAACGCAGCGAAAUGCGAUAAGUAGUGUGAAUUGCAGAAUUCAGUGAAUCAUCGAAUCUUUGAACGCACAUUGCGCCCUUCGGUAUUCCGUUGGGCAUGCCUGUUCGAGCGUCAUUUACAAACUCAAGCUCUGCUUGGCGUUGGGCGUCUGUCCCGCCUCUGUGCGGGACUCGCCUCAAAUCUAUUGGCAGCCGGUCAGUUGGCUUCCGCCGCAGCACAUUGCGUCGCGACUCCAGCCUGUCCGCCUCCCCAUCAAGUCCUCUAAAGAUUGACCUCGGAUCAGGUAGGGAUACCCGCUGAACUUAAGCAUAUCAAUAAGCGGAGGA
rnacentral:rRNA from 1 species